rnacentral:rRNA from 1 species
AUGUUUCCUUUAUAUAUGGAACCAUAUUUUCCGGCACCAAUCAGAUUGGCAGGUGCAAAGCCAUCUGUAGCUUCAAACAUUUCAUGGUAUGUAACUCUGGGAUACUUUUCACCCAACAUACCGAGGCCAGCAAUUUUCAUCCUGUCCACUGUCAUUUUCCGCCUGAACAUAAAGAUUGCACACAGUAAACAUACAUAUGCAUGUAGCAAUGCCGGCAACUGGAAGCAGAAUACUAGGCAGCAAUUGUUGUUUCUUCUUAUGCAGCUUUACCUGUCAUGGAGGCAAUUUCAGUUCUGGAAUGCCACCACAAAGCCCACUGUUGUCAACUAUUGA